rnacentral:misc_RNA from 1 species
AUACAAUAUAUUGGAGGACUGAAAAAUACUAUUUUCUUAGACAUAAAUUUUUAUUUUUUCUAUGUUUGUCGGAGUUGAGAUCAAUUAUUUUAUAUGAAAGGAGCAUAUAUUUUAGGAUAAUAAAUAUGCGUAGCUGAGAUAUCAAUUCAUGCACUUCAAUCUAUAUCUUUUCUUUCGAGGUAGCCUUUUUAAGGUAGCUUCAAGCUACUCUAUAUCUAAUUUGUUGAAGGAAUAAUAAUGGAGUUCUUCGUAAUAUUGGACUUGAAGAGUUCUUCAAAAUCUGGUGUCACGUUAAGAGAAACUUGUGAAACUAUAGGAGAAAGGGCAUUCCACACUGAAUUCUUAGUCGCAAGCUCCUCAAUAAAUGGCCAUGUAGAAGUUAAGGUGGAGACAAACUCCAUCCCUUCACUGCCAGCAACUACAGCAACAGCAAAGAAUUUUGGCACCAGAAACAUUUGGCCAGCUUUUAUGUUGGUGUCCAAGACUCGCUUACCAUUGAUACCCACAAUUUGUACUUGUCCAUUCCCUUUAACAAUAUAAACAAGUCGACUUGCUCCAUUGGCAGUGUAAGUGGGUGAGUACAUGGCACUGGCAUCUAAUUUCACAUAGCUGACACUUAAUCCUGCUUGCUCAAGAAGGGGCAAUUUUGAUGAUGUUAGUGUCUUAAAAACACCACCCUUUUGGACAUCAACGUCAGCUGAUGCUGCGUCGAUGUUAUACACCAUUUUGUCCCGAAAGUCGUUAUGAGGUUGGGGCAUGAUUAUUCCUUCCUCUAUCUUGAUAAUCAACACGCCAGUUUGGCUUUUAGCGAGUUUGUUUGCUUCUUCUUGAUUCUUGAGAUUGUAGGCUCGACUGGUAAAUUCAGAUGAGAAUCCUGCCAUAACACCUAUGCCUCCAGAUAACAAGAAGUAGGUGAAUUCUCCAGGAAUAUAAGACUUGGAAGUUUCUCCCAACAAAACCACAACAAAUUUUGAAUCUCCAUUAUUAUACCACCAUGAGAGAGUUCCCAGAGGCACAGGUAUGAUAUCUCCUUUCUUAAGCUUUAAUACUACCUCUUUUGCAGAAUUAGGAAGCACCACUCCCACUAUUCCUUCUGUACCUUCAAGAACAUAACCAAUUUUGGAGGAAUCUGUAUAGUGGGGAAAAGCAAAACCACGGGGCUGGAGAAGAAGCUUUCCUCCUCCAACCUUUGCCACAGCUAAUUCAGAACUUGACCAAGCCUUGUAUGAUCCACCUUCUCCUUCAAAUAAUGUCUUUUGUGGGAACUUUGGUGACAAAUCCAAAUCCAUGGCUAACACUAUCCCUUUCUUCAAUAAUCACUUAGAGAGAAAAGAAGAAACAAUUGAUUGGUAGUUUAUAACUAAAUUAGAUAUGAAGCAGUAGAGAUUAGAGGGCAGAGA